rnacentral:rRNA from 3 species
CGACGACCUCAGAGUAGGCGAGACU